UGCCAGACUCCUACGGGAGGCAGCAGUGGGGAAUAUUGCACAAUGGGGGGAACCCUGAUGCAGCGACGCCGCGUGGGUGAAGGAGCACCUCGGUGCGUAAAGCCCUAUCGGCAGGGAAGAAAAGCGAACAGGUUCGCCUGGACGGUACCUGACUAAGAAGCCCCGGCUAACUACGGGCCAGCAGCCGCGGUAAUACGGAGGGGGCAAGCGUUAUCCGGAUUUACUGGGUGUAAAGGGAGCGUAGACGGCAUGGCAAGUCAGAUGUGAAAGCCCGGGGCUCAACCCCGGGACUGCAUUUGAAACUGUCAGGCUGGAGUGCAGGAGAGGUAAGUGGAAUUCCUAGUGUAGCGGUGAAAUGCGUAGAUAUUAGGAGGAACACCAGUGGCGAAGGCGGCUUACUGGACUGUAACUGACGUUGAGGCUCGAAAGCGUGGGGAGCAAACAGGAUUAGAUACCCCGGUA
rnacentral:rRNA from 1 species